rnacentral:lncRNA from 1 species
GGCUACAGUUCUUAGCAGGAGAGAGAGCGAGGAGUUGUCAGGAAAGCUGCAGGUUACUUUGAGACAGUCGUCCCAAAUGCAUUAGAGGAACUGUAAAAAUCUGCCACAGAAGGAACGAUGAUCCAUAGUCAGAAAAGUUACUGCAGCUUAAACAGGAAACCCUUCUUGUUCAGGACUGUCAUAGCCACAGUUUGCAAAAAGUGCAGCUAUUGAUUAAUGCAAUGUAGUGUCAAUUAGAUGUACAUUCCUGAGGUCUUUUAUCUGUUGUAGCUUUGUCUUUUUCUUUUUCUUUUCAUUACAUCAGGUAUAUUGCCCUGUAAAUUGUGGUAGUGGUACCAGGAAUAAAAAAUUAAGGAAUUUUUAACUUUUCAAUAUUUGUGUAGUUCAGUUUUUCUACAUUUUAGUACAGAAACUUUAACAAAAUGCAGUUUCGAAGGUGUUUCCUUGUGAGUUAACAAGUAAAGAAGAUCAUUGUUAAUUACUAUUUUGUAUGAAUUUUGCUAAAGUUAACUGUAAAGAAACACCUGCUGACUUGCAGUUUAAGGGGAAUCUAUUCUCCCCAUUUCCAAACCGUGAUAUGAAUGGGCGCUGACAUGUGGAGAGAAUAGAUAAUUUGUGUGUUUGCAAUGUGUGUUUUAGAUAAAUAGGAUUGGGUAUUUAAAUUAGCAUUUGUGAAUUUAAUAGCAUUAAGAUUACCUUCAAAUGAAAAAAAUCUCAAAAUUUCUAUUUGGUUUUUGUGCAUUUUCUUUUAAAAUGUAAUCAUAUGAUUUUAGUGUGUUAGACUUGCUGAGUCCUAGCUGUGUUUAGAACAUCUCUAUUCUACAUUUACCUUGGUCAAAUUUGAACUGCUGCCAUAGGUUUUGGGUGUAAAGAAUGUUUACUGCCCUCCAUUUAAAUUCUGAAAAGGGAUAGUGGAUGUUUUCCCUCUCCUACGUUAGAAACCAUUCUUAAAAACUUUUGAAAAUAUAGAACCAUUAAGCCUGCUAUAUCUGAGCAAAUUAGUGGGUACCUUUUUUCUCUUAUUUAAAGCACAAGAGGCCCAUAAAUCUUGAGUUACUUUCCUUAAAUUCUUUUUUUUGAUACAAGUUUUCAGAGCAAGAGAAUAAAAAUCAUGUGUUAUUAAACCCCUAACUGGCUGGCAUGCUUUCCUGUUUGUAUUCUAUACAUUUUGCUGGAUGAAACCAAGGAUAGUUUAGGUAUAAUUGUCCAAAAUAACCUAACUGCAGCAGAAAUGUAGCACAGUUGCUUAGUACAGGCUUCUCACUUCCUACAGACCUGAAUUCAAAUUUGGAUAGUCUGAGUUCUUAAAUUCCCAAAGAACACACUGUUAUUUCUUGUGUAUAUUUCAACAUAAAUCAUGUUGUUACCAAUUUGUUUGGAAGGCCCUGGUUGAGAAGAGUUUUAGUUAAUAAGGUCAUAUAUACAUAUAUUAAUAUAAACCAAUGUCUACUGUUUUGCUCCAGCUAGUGCUUACAAUUUCAUUCGAGCCCUGAGUAUGUGCCCUGCUGUUACUCUCUUUGGUAGUUGAACGUUGAAUUCAAGUCUUUUUGUUUUAAGAAGUACUAAGCAAACAAGCAAUAAAAAGGGGAAUGGGGUGUGCUAGUGUUUGAAUAUGCUCUCUUGUUGCUCUAAUUCUGUGCCUCUGUGCAUUAAUAUUUGGAUGCAUGCAAUGCCAGCAUGGAAAUUGGUCUUCACACAUACUGCAGUUUUCCAGAAACAUUCACAAACCAAUAAAUGUAACAGACAUUCCAUUUGUUAAUGGGCAUAUAUGUGAAAAGCAGUGUAGAAAAUAGGCUAAUAUUAGAAAAUGGUUAAGUCCUUAAUAACUUCAAGUGUGGUUAUAUAAUGGACACUGUCAAUGUUCAUAACUUAAACCUGGGUACCUGGUCAAAAUAAUGCUUGGGAAACAUUAAAAUUGAGCUAAAUUGUCUCAAGUUCUUUUAUUCAUAUAAAUAAAGUUUAAAGGAAUGGGGGAGAUUAACAUUUCCUGUUUUAUGUUUGUGAAAUUGUUUGACACAACCUUGACAGUAUCCUUUAAUGGCAUGAGGUUAAUUGUACUGUUAACCAACUUUCUAUGUUCUGGAACUAGUAUUAUAGUGAAAACAUUUACAGUAAGUUGAUGUUUACAACCUAUAAGCAGGUGAAAUCUGUGUAUGUGACCUGUUUAUAAGUUGUAUUAGCUUAGCUCUUGUGAACAGUGUGGAAAAGUAAGCCAUGAGGAGAGCGAUUUAACCAGCUUUAAAGGACCUAAGAUGUGCUUUUUAAGCACAGUGUGGAUCACAGAAACUCACUAAGACAGGACUUCAGCAGCCUUUUGUGUUUGGACAAGUCAGCAUAAAUAAAGAAUGACAAGGCAGCAGCAAGAGCUUCAACUACAGAGAAGUGAAGGCAUAAGAUACUAUGAUGAUAGUGAGCAACUUUCCAAAAGCUAGUUAAAUCUGCUUAUUACAACUGAAAUAUCGAAGAAAGUCUAGCAGGAAGGAGCUCUUCGCCUUUUGGAACAUCAAUGAGAGAUAGUUGCCACAGUCACUAGGUCUAGCAUUUAGACCUGCAAGGAAGGGCAAUAAGCAUUAGGUUGAAUGAGAACCCUACUUGCCUAAAUGAGGAAUGUCUUUCCUACCAUCUAAAAUACGAAGGUUUCUGGCUGGGUAAGGUUUGUAGUUGACAGUAAAACCUGAUGACACCAUUUGUUUCCCUGCAAGUCUACAUUACAUAUUUCACAACUUUGUCCCUCUCUAGUAGGCACAUUGGAACAAUUCUUCAACUGAAAACUACCUUGGUACCAUGUCCUACACGUUUUAAACCUUAGUUUUAAAAAUUCCCCUGCGAAAUAGCCAUAAGUAUUCAUAUCAAGUCAGUUGUGGCUCCUUGUGUAUACAAUUCAUUUUUAGUGUCUUCAGGGUAAACUCAAUUUUUGGUAAAAGAAAGUAGCUUCAGCUUUUGUGAAAACCGUUUUUGUGUGUAAGCAUGACACACAACAGACUCAGUAAGCUGCCCAUCCUCAUACUAGGAAAACACCUUCAAAGGAACAUUAAAAGUUACCAGGGCCAGGCACAGUGGCUCACGCCUGUAAUCCCAGCACUUUGGGAGGCUGAGGCAGAUGGAUCCCAAGUCCAGGAGUUUGAGAUGAGCCUGGGCAACAUAGUGAGAGCCUGUCAACAAAAAAUAGAAAAAUUAGCUGGGCUUGGUGAUACACAUCUGUAGUCCCAGCUAUUUGGGAGGCUGCCUUGAUCUCAGGCAGUCGAGGCUGCAGUGAGCUGACUUGCCCCACUGUAUUCCAGCCUGGGUGACCACCCCAUCUCAAAGAAGAAAAGUUACCAGAUGUCAUGGAUAAAGGUUGGUCUUCAAGUGGCCUCAUAAGUUGUCUUGCAUUUAAAUUCAGGGAAUUCAUUGGACCAAUAGGUUACAUUUUCGUUCCUUUUUUGUUUUGGUUCAUCUGUUAAGCAGUGGGGGCCUAAUUACUGCUCCUUUGUAAAAAACACAUUUUCCCAAAGAACACUGAAUUACCGUUCAAACUGGUUGUUGAUGGGUAAUAAGGGCUGUUUUUGCUGCCCCAAAAGGGCUUAACAAUUUAGGCGGUUAGUUUACUUAAAAAAAAAAAUCCUUUGGAGACAAAUACUGAAAAUGCAAACUAGUUUCUAAAUUAUCAAUUCCCUACAUGAAGAAGCAGUUUGCCAGAGUUUAGUCUCAGAAAAUGACUGGUUGGCUCUAUUUAAAUCAGAACCCAAUUUCUACGUGUGUUGAAUAAGGUAACAGCCUUCGAUGAAUUUCCUUCACAACAUGGUUUUUAGUGAAGCAAACAUUUUUAUUUUUUAAGGGCAUUGUUCUUUCUAGUUUAUUUCUUUUUAUGAAAUAAAAUUAUUUUAUUUAAACAGUUCCAUUGUCGUUUCUGAAAACUACAGUAUUCUCAGAAGUUGUAGCAGCAGUAAAAAAAAAAAGUUAUAUAAGUGAUUGGGGCAGAUUUAACUGAUUUUGUUAAACCAAUUUGUAAGUUACUGCUUCUAAUAUUACACUUCUAAAAAGCUGAAUUUAUACUCAUGUCCUAAAGGAGAAUAUGUGGUAAUAAAGUAUAUUUGUUAAGUAACUAAUUGAAAUAGGCUUGGUUUUAAGAGUUCCAGUAUAUAAUAAUCACAAAUUGAAACCUGACAGUAUCUUGGGAGUUCCAGUAAUGUCACAAAUUAGUGAAUAAGCAUGCCAGUGUGCAAGGGUAAUGUAAGGAUUGUUAGCCUAUCUAAAUAUUCGAAAUUACUUUAAAACUUAAGUAUGUUUUCUGAUUUUUAAGAAUUCAGAAGUGUGUUCUGUAAUGGAUUCAGAUGUUUCAUUUGUAGUAUAAUGAAAUGUUUACAGAAAG